rnacentral:rRNA from 1 species
GGGAGGCAGCAGUGGGGAAUCUUGCGCAAUGGGCGAAAGCCUGACGCAGCCACGCCGCGUGAGUGAAGAAGGCCUUCGGGUUGUAAAGCUCUGUCGGAGGGGACGAACCUCCAUUAGGUGAAUAGCCUAGUGGACUGACGGUACCCUUAAAGGAAGCACCGGCUAACUCUGUGCCAGCAGCCGCGGUAAUACAGAGGGUGCAAGCGUUGCUCGGAAUCAUUGGGCGUAAAGGGCAAGUAGGUGGUCUCAUUUGUCUCGGGUGAAAUCCUUGGGCUUAACCCAAGAAGGGCCCGAGAAACGGUGAGACUCGAGUUCCGGAGAGGUGGGUGGAAUUCCCGGUGUAGCGGUGAAAUGCGUAGAGAUCGGGAGGAACACCAGCGGCGAAGGCGGCCCACUGGACGGACACUGACACUCAACUGCGAAAGCGUGGGGAGCAAACAGGAUUAGAUACCCCGGU